rnacentral:lncRNA from 1 species
CACAAGGAACAAUUCCUACAGAUGUGCAGAGAACUCACUGGCACAAAUUUCCCGGAGGAGAACAGUGAAAAGAGUUCCCAUGAUUCUUCCAAGAAUGAAGCACCGCAGCCGCUCCAAAAUCCAGACCCACCGGAAAUUGAGAGAAAGCCCAGCAAAUUACGAGAAGCCACAGAUGAUGGCAGCCUGCCUCUCUCCCCAACAGGCGGUGGCUAUCAAUGUGCUAAAUGCGGUUCUGAGCAUGGUGUGCCCUUUAAAUGCCAGCAGUGUUCCUUCACGUGUUGCAACAAAUGUUGGGAGAAUGCCUUGAAGCUUGCCAAGAAGUGCCCAGAAUGCCAAGCGGACACCAAGAGAAGACACUUGGCCAUAUCUUACUGGCCAGAUCCCCCCGUGAAAGGCACGUAGAGUGAACACGUGAACUGUUCAACGGGUUCUACAGGAUGUACGGCUGGCUCCAGCUGCUCUGUGUGGAAGAGGAACAACGAAAUUGCACGUGGUUUUAAGUUAGAUCCUCCAGGCUAACCCACCCGCUUCUUAAGAGAAGCCACACGGUCUUCAACGUGACCAUUCUCCAGAUAUUUGAGCCACUCAAGUGCUCCUGUCUGUUUCAGUCAAUCUAGAUGGCAUUUAAAAUCAGAGUUAAUAUGUUAUUAUCUUUUUCUAAUGAUGACCUUUGCAGUCAGACCGGGUACCACAAAGCCUAUUGUCUUUAUUAUGGAAAAAUUAAAAAGGACUUUCUAAUAACGGAAU